rnacentral:snoRNA from 1 species
CAGCAUCCUCUGAUAGACCACGAGCACUGCCCCUGUUGCUCUCUGGUUUGCACUAAGAUGCCAGAACAACCUCCUCGCGCUUUCUGCCUGCCUGGCCCGUGGCAGCUCGGAUUGAAUGGGGGAGUACAGCC